AAUAACAGUCUGAACAGAACCUUUGCCGAAAGACUUUUCGCCCAGAAUAACCGCACGCUUAUGAUCCUGCAAUGCGCCGGCUACAAUUUCGGAAGCCGAAGCGGAACCGCCGUUGAUUAAAACCACAAUCGGCAGGCCUUUGGCAAUAUCGCCUUUCUGGGCAGAAUAUCUGACCGUAUCUUCGGCAUUGCGGGAGCGGGUAGAAACAAUUUCGCCUUUGUCAAGGAACAAAUCCGUCACAUUAACGGCCUGAUCCAGCAGUCCUCCCGGAUUGUUGCG
rnacentral:ncRNA from 1 species